rnacentral:rRNA from 1 species
AUUUAGGGGUAAAGCACUGUUUCGGUGCGGGCUGGUAAAACGGUACCAAAUCGAGGCAAACUAAGAAUACUAAAUGAAUAAUUAGCCAGUAAGACUGUGGGGGAUAAGCUCCAUUGUCAAGAGGGAAACAGCCCAGACCACCAGCUAAGGCCCCUAAAUAAUUACUAAGUGAUAAAGGAGGUGGGAAUGCAUAGACAACCAGGAGGUUUGCUUAGAAGCAGCAAUCCUUUAAAGAGUGCGUAAUAGCUCACUGGUCGAGUAGGCCUGCGCCGAAAAUGAACGGGGCUAAGUAAUUUGCCGAAGCUGUGGGAUAUUUAUAAUAUCGGUAGGGGAGCGUUCUGUUGUAGGUUGAAGCAUUAACGAAAGUAGAUGUGGACGACGCAGAAGUGAGAAUGUCGGCUUGAGUAGCGAAAACAUUGGUGAGAAUCCAAUGCCCCGAAAACCUAAGGUUUCCUUCGGAAGGCUCGUCCGCGGAGGGUAAGUCAGGACCUAAGGCGAGGCCGAGAGGCGUAGUCGAUGGAUAACGGGUUAAUAUUCCUGUACUCUUUUUUAUUGACAACGAAGGACGGAGAAGGCUA